UACAGGCUCAGAAAAAAGUUUUAUUUGUUUAUAUUAAAUCAAAGGAAAGCACUAUAACAUACUUCACAAACCAAACGCCUUGUGUAGUACAGAGGUUUUCAAUCUGGGUUCUGGAAACUCACAGCACUGCGUAUUUUUGUAUAUCUAGAUUUCUUCUGAUGAUGCGAAUCAGAGGUGUUAAAUAAGAAAGAUACACAAAAUUUGCGCUGAUGUGGGUGCCUAGGUUUAGGAUUAAAAACCUCUGAUUUAGUAAAUCUGUAAUACCAGAUAAAGAACGAUUUUAAUAUGGCAUAUUACAAAAAAAAAAAAAAGGAAGUA